UCUGUAUCUAUCUCUGUCUAUCUCUGCCUCCUUUGACACUACUAUCUGCAUUUGUUUCUGUUUUUAUUUACUAGUUUAUUUGCUCAUGAUUAUACCAUGUUCCUCUUUUUCUUUACACCAUUUUUCUCUCUUUCUCCCUCUCUUUCUUUCUCUCUCUCACUCACUCACUCACUCACUCACUCACUCACUCACUCACUCACUCACUCUCUUCUCUCUCUCGUCUGCAGAGCUGUGGCCACUGUGACAGCUGCCCCUGUGAGGAGGGUGACGAAUCGGACCACUGCAAGAGCUGUGAAGUAGGCUAUGAGGCACACACUCACACAGACACACACACACACACGCUCACACAUGGACAUAAAGUCCCGGCAUAUGUCUGCCAUAUAAUCUUACAUAUGUCUCCAGCACUCAGAGUUCAUGAACAUCAUACACCCUGGCACACAUGUUUGUUUCAUCAUGUCUCUCACCCUCUCCCCCUCUCUCUACCUCUCUUCAGCUGUGCGCUCUCUGCUACAUGUGCCCCAUCUUCUGUGACACUGUUUGCGCACCAGGUGGCUUUGUGGAUGAUUUCACUGGAUCAAUCUACCAGUGAGUUCUGGUUUUAUUGCCCCACCACACACUCCACCUGUUUACACAACAUACAACCACAUCCUUGGAACCCGUCACAUGCAUAUGUUAACAUAUCUAGCACUGUUUGAAGGACAAUCCGUAUGUCUAUAAUGUCAAUUAUGACAAUCAUGAAAAAGGAUUUAUUGUAGGACUGUUGUGUUAGACUGCCUUAGUUGUUGCUGUGUGGACAUACAGAUACAGACAUAGACAUAGACAUAUGUAGACGGGCAAAUAUGAAUAAUCUCUCUCUUCCUCUCUCCCCCUCCCCUCCCUUCCUUUUCUUUUUAACAGGUCGGUUGUCUCAUUUCUCUGAACACCACAACGCUGACUUCCGCCCCGGCGAUUGUGACCACAGGUCUCUGCAGCUUUGGAUCACCUUGUCAUCCCCAUGACAUCCACGGCGGCGGAGAAAGUUACUCGUAGUGCAGACUGAGAUCAGGUUUACCCUGUCAGCUGAUCGGCGUCAAACAUCACUUGUGGACAAAGAAACUGAUCCCUGGUCUGCCUGACUGGAUACUUUUUCUGCCCGCAGCCUGUGUUACUGUGACCUUUUUAAGAGCAAAUAACUACUUGUCUGCAUGUCAAUCCGGGAUGUCAGUGCAGGAGGUCAAUUCAUUAAUAAGAAAAAUGUUUUUAGCCAAGACUGUUAUUUAAUUGGUUUAUAUGUCUGUUUUUAAAGUUCAGGGCCAGUUGCUCAUUUUGUUUUCUGUUUUGUGUCAGAUACUGUAAAUUACAUACAUUACCCAAAGAUACAAUGGUACCUACCCCAGUUUUCAUGAAGCCUUUAAAGUAUGUGUUUUUAAACCAUAACACCAGCAACAUCAUAACAUACAUAUGGAAUAUGUUCUGUUUAUGAACGCUUCAGAGAGCAUUACAUCCACUGUCACAACUGGUGACCCAUAAAACAGCAGAGUAAUCGGCAGUUUUUCAGCGCGGCUUUUGUGGUUUGGGCUUUUUCCAGAAUCAGAAAAAUGUGCUUUGCGAAACUGUUGUGCACAGAAAAUGCGAUGUCAUGCUGUAUAUAUGUGCCUUUUUGUCUUAAACCUGAUUUCAUCACUCUUGCUCUCAAAGCCAUGUCCAGGUCAAGCUGAUCAGCUCACCCAUUGGUGGUCCACUCUCAAGUAAUAUUUUCCAAAAACAACCUUAUUCACACAGGCUUAUAGAGAGAGCACAUAGAACCGCUUAUGGCUGUUGAUGCACCAAUCUACAAAACAAAUGUUUCACAUAGGCAUAUACUAGAACCAGGGGCGGAACUUGAAUUAUCAGAGUCAGUGGAACCUGGUUGUUCUGUUAAAGCACUCGUCUUUCUGUCCCUGAUAGCCAAGACUACUAAGCUUGUUUGUACACUGAAGUAGGCCCUGUCUAGACGGCAGCUGUCAUAAUUAGGUUGUGUUUUAGUGUGUUUAGUUGGAAAUAAAAUCAAUGAUCCACUAAUUCA
ensembl:lncRNA